AUGCUCUCUUUCACAGCAUAUAUGCUAAAACUGAAACGAUGCAGAGAAGUUAGCAUUGCCCCUGCAAAAGGAUGACGUACAAAUUUGUGAAGCGUUCCAUAUUUUA
rnacentral:snRNA from 1 species